rnacentral:rRNA from 1 species
CUACGGGCGGCUGCAGUGGGGAAUAUUGGGCAAUGGGCGCAAGCCUGACCCAGCAACGCCGCGUGAGGGAAGAAGGUUUUCGGAUUGUAAACCUCUGUCCUUGGGGACGAAGAAGUGACGGUACCCAAGGAGGAAGCUCCGGCUAACUACGUGCCAGCAGCCGCGGUAAUACGUAGGGAGCAAGCGUUGUCCGGAAUUACUGGGCGUAAAGGGUGCGUAGGCGGCAUAUUAAGUCAGGUGUGAAAUACUCGGGCUCAACCCGAGGGGUGCAUUUGAAACUGAUAAGCUUGAGUGUGAGAGAGGAAAGUGGAAUUCCUAGUGUAGCGGUGGAAUGCGUAGAUAUUAGGAGGAACACCAGUGGCGAAGGCGACUUUCUGGCUCAUAACUGACGCUGAGGCACGAAAGCGUGGGGAGCAAACAGGAUUAGAUACCCCUGUAGUC